rnacentral:rRNA from 1 species
GACGAACGCUGGCGGCGUGCUUGACCCAUGCAAGUCGAACGAAGUGGCUAUCUGGUGAGUAAUACUUGGGUAACCUGCCCUCCUUUUUGGGAUAAGCCUUGGCAACGGGGUCUAUUACCGAAUAAAGGGGGAUGGGCUCGCGGCCUAUCAGCUUGUGGGUGGGGGGAGGGCCUACCAAGGCGGUGACGGGUAGCCGGCCUGAGAGGGUGAUCGGCCUGAUUGGGACUGAGGUACGGGCCAGACUCCUACGGGAGGAAGAGGUGGGGGGUAGUGCACAAUGGGGGAAAGCCUGAUGCAGCGAGGCUGCAUGGGGGAUGGAGGCGUUCGGGUUGUAAGCCUAUUUCGCUAUCGCACGGGUAGGUGGAGAAGAAGCGCCGGCUAACUACGUGCCAGCAGCCGCGGUAAUAC